rnacentral:ncRNA from 1 species
AGGCCAGCCGCCCGGUGGUGUGGUACGUAGUGGUAAUAGUACGCGCCCCGCUCCGAAACAAAGAAAAAGGUGCGUGCCGCACUCACGAGGGACUGCCAGUGAGAUACUGGAGGAAGGUGGGGAUGACGUCAAGUCCGCAUGGCCCUUAUGGGCUGGGCCACACGCGUGCUACAAUGGCAAUGACAAUGGGAAGCAAGGCUGUAAGGCGGAGCGAAUCCGGAAAGAUUGCCUCAGUUCGGAUUGUUCUCUGCAACUCGGGAA